UGGGGAAUCUUGCACAAUGGGGGAAACCCUGAUGCAGCGACGCCGCGUGAGCGAUGAAGCCCUUCGGGGUGUAAAGCUCUUUCGGCAGGGACGAAAGUGACGGUACCUGCAGAAGCAGCUGCGGCUAACUACGUGCCAGCAGCCGCGGUAAAACGUAGGAGGCUAGCGUUAUCCGGAUUUACUGGGCGUAAAGCGCGUGCAGGUGGUUUCGUAAGUUGGAUGUGAAAGCUCCUGGCUUAACUGGGAGAGGUCGUUCAAAACUGCGAGGCUUGAGAGUGGUAGAGGGAGGUGGAAUUCCGGGUGUAGUGAUGAAAUGCGUAGAUAUCCGGAGGAACACCAGUGGCGAAAGCGGCCUCCUGGACCAUUUCUGACACUCAGACGCGAAAGCUAAGGUAGCAAACG
rnacentral:rRNA from 1 species